GAGAACAGAAUGCUCUUGGCAUAGUGAUACUGUUCCCAAAAAGAUCCAUAUUCAAGAAAGGCUACGAACACUUUUAUGAUGCUGCAAGCAACAUAGGAUACAUUGCUUGGCGUAUGAAAAGUCCACAGGAAGAUUAGACGAGGAUCUUUGCCACUAGACAGCCCUCAUGAUGUUUCUCCAGGAAGCCCAAAAUGCCAAAAAGCUACUAGAGAGGCCAUUUCUUUGCUCAGCCAAACCACAGAGAAUUCCCUAAUCAUCCAAAAGAUGAGAGAGACCUUUCAGCAUCACCAAGAGCUUAUUAAAGAUCCAGGCUCUAGUGUUGAUAUCCUCUCCACCUUCCCAUGAUUCAUAGAUACAAAAGGCCUGGUUGGUCAAGACUUCACUCUCCUGUUUGACACUGAGACAUCCUCCAGGCUGCUUCAGAAGAGGGACACAUUCUUCAGGCCAGAUGUCAUGAAAGACACCAGAAUGUCCUGAAGGAAGUGAACUUCAUGAGACAAUUUACGAUCGGGAAAUGGCAUCUCUUCUUUUACUGAUACAUCUCCUUCCACCAUCAUAGGACUGAAGUCUCCAAAAACAGUCCAUGUUAUGCUGCUGAAAGACUUGUAAUCUUUCAUAAGUUUAGUCAUGCUGCAGUUUGGAGGAGCCCCUCAACAACAUCCAGCAUCAGCAUCCCUACAUCCUUGCUGUUGGACACCAAUAAGCAAUACUGAGUGCUUCUACAUCAUCUUGGAUAAGCAUCUCAUCCCAUGCCAGGCAAACCGCUCCCUUGGAGCAUUUGAUGAACUUUUCAAGGCACAUUUUGUGUUAAAUUUGU